AAAAUAAAAAAAAAUAAAUAAAUAGUCCCCAGGAUCAGCAGUUAGCAUCCAACAAUAAUUUCAGCACAAAGUUUAUUUUGAGAUGUACAAAAUUAUCUUCAAAGAUCAUUUGAACAAACAAUAAUUUUUGUAUGAGCCCCAAGAACAUAGACAACUCUCCCCCUCAAAAUAUAAUGAGAAAAGUAGUGGAAAUAAGCGACAAUUUUCCGAAUGAGUACUAGACUACUAGGGAAAGACAAGGCUUGCCAAAAGGUUAAGAAAAAUUCUUAGUUUUGUUCCAUUUGCCUUAAUGAUAUUGACCCAUGAUAUUGACCAAUAUUCAGUUUCCGAUUUGCUUAGACUAAGGCGGAGGAAACAAAGAGAAAGAGGGGGAGAGGAAACCAGGCGCUGCAGACUGCAGGUAGGGCUGUCCAUAGGAGAUGGAGAUAGGGUUAAUAUAUGGAGACAAAAUGACAUCAAUUGUCAUUUAUAUAGGUUAGCUCGGUUUAACUAGUUCUAUUUCACUAUUGAACUAACAAAACAGAAUCGAAAAACCAAAAUAUUUUAAAAAUGAUAACCAAAACUGAAAAACCAAAUUAGAUAGGUUCAAUUUGAUUUUUCGAUUAAAAUCAAAAUAAGGUCAGCCCUACUAUUGUGUAUCUAAGCUAUUCAUCGCAAAACAUAUGAGAAGCAUGCAGAAAAAUAAUUUUCCAACAGCACAGUCACCAUUGAAGUUACUGCUUACACCUUUUGCCCUCUUAAUGUUCCCAAAGUAUGCUGCCAAUAAUGAGCCUUUUGAGUCUCCACCAGAAAAGCAAAGGCUGUGAGUUAACUUUUGCAUGACAGCGUUUUGUUAGUCUCAACUCUAGUAUACAAGUUUAGAAUAGAUUUUAACAUGUCAGUGAUUGACCUAGAUGUGAAUAAAUCAAAAAGAAGAUGAGAGAAAGAGCUCUAAAAGACCACAGCUACAUAAAGAGAGGAAAUAAAAUUGCAGAAGAGGAAGGCACAAAACAAUUUCAGGUCAAGAAGCAAGAAAGAACAAGAUGAUCCAUAAAACAGGGUAUAAAAAGAGCUGGUUGCAGGAGUUAGCGCCAACUAUAGCAAUAUACAACAAUAUGGAGCUUAGAUUACAGCUUCAAGCCAUGUACAUACAUCAACAAAAUAGCACAAUAGACAUGGUUGAAUGCAAACCAUCGAUCCCAACAUAAAUUCAAUCCCCCCUCUUCUCUCUCCUACUUUCUAAGAGUUACCAAGCAUAAUUAAAAUUAAAUGGAUAUAAAUGGGAAUGAAGCUUGUAGCUAAAUCUGAUGAAUUCCAUUGCAGAAAGCAAGAUGCAUAUUACCAAUACUUUCUUUCAAAAAUCUUCUAGGUAGAGAAUUUGGUCAGACCUAUAAAACAGCAAGGUGAAGUGAAUUGAGAAAUUUCAGUGCCCACAAAAUUUCCAUUUCAAUUUUCAUGAGUUGGGUCUACUUGCUCGACUCCAGAGUUCAACUCAGUUGAAGUAUCAUCAGAUUGCAGACCUUCAUUUCUUUGUUGUCUCACGAAUUGUCUGCUACGACUAACUCUAAUUGACCUUCCCAUAAACAUCUUCCCUGGAAAUGCAGAAAGGGCAGCAUCCGCUUCUCUUUUAGUUUUGAAGGCGACAAAUCCAUAGCCAGAAGGCCUUCUUGGAUUAUCAUGGUAUACAAUUUCAGCAGAAACAACAUCAGUGCCUUCAGCAUUAAAGAACUCCUUAAGAUCUUUUGCCUUAGCUUCGAAUGGCAAAUUUGCUACAAACAAGUUGAAUGUUGCUGCUGGCUUUGGAGGUGGUGGUGGUGAAGGUUUUUUCUUUUUUAGCUUGGCGUAAUUCAUCUUCAAAGUCCGACCCUCAAAUUCCUAAAGAGUAAUUAGAAGAAGAUUAAAAUGCUGAAAUUGAAAAGAUGGGAAAACUAGUUAAACUUGUAAAUGCCCAUUAAACAACAAAAUCUUAAGUUCUCAAUCUUACAUUAUUCAUGUUCAUUAGCUUUCGAUGAGAAAAAAAACUGACAUAACUGGACUCAAGUUAAACAGAUAAACAAAUGUAGCCAAAUAUUUAAGUAAACCAUGAAAGAAUUGAAGACAACGAGCUUACAUAAGAUUCGAGAUUUUUAAUAGCUGCAAGUGCCUCCUCAGGGGAGCCCAUAGUGACAAAUGCCAAACCCCUGUUUCUGGUCUUGUUAUGCAUAGAAAGCUAGACCACAGCAACCAAAUCAGCACAUACCCAUAUCAACAGAAUACACGAAAACCAUAACCCAUAUAACAGAUAUGGAAAUCAAAAUAAAGAUAAAGGCAAAUAAAUUAAGAAAAGAACCUCAACGUCUAAAACAGUCCCAAAUUUCUCAAACAAAGUACGGAUGUCUUCGGUGGUAGAAGUCCAAGGAACAUUCUGAGCGAGCACUCUGGUUCGAGAAUAUUCCUCUUGUUCUCCUUCUUCUUCAGUCUUUGCUUCGACUUCUGAUUGGGUCAACGAGGAAUCAACAACUGGGUCUUGAGUUGUAGAAGAGAAAUGUAAAACGAAGCAGCUUAGUUUGGAGUUUCUAAUUGGAAGUAUAGGAGUACGAGAAAGAGAAAGGGUACAUGAAAGAGAGAGAAUGUUUUUAGUAUUGAUAGUAUGGUUAGCACGAUUAAAAGGUUUACAGAGAGGAGGUGAUGGAAGAGGCUUAUGGAAUAUUUGAUAAUGUUCACUAGAAAAGGACGGGGUUGACGAAGGACAGGGAAGACGAAUUGAAGCCAUGGA
rnacentral:misc_RNA from 1 species